rnacentral:lncRNA from 1 species
UGGUACCCAAAACCAGGUCUGAGGCACAGUCAGUGAAUACCUGUUUAAUGAAUGCAUGCAUGAAUGAAUGAAUGGAUGAUCCAGCUCUUCCUGGAGCAGGCACGACUUCCACAGAAACGGAGCAAACGCGAGCCGUAAGCAGAAAGAACGGUUAUAGCUCCAGCGCUGAAUGAGACAUCUUUGAUUCUGUGGUGAUGCGGACUUUGUGCCUCUCUGUGAGGAAACACUUUGUUCCAAUGACGCAAUUUUCCUCACACUCCGGAAGUGUCCUGCACUGCCAGAAUCGCCCAGCUUCCCGGCACACCUAUCAGCCAGUCGUUCCCAGCACUGCCCAGUAUGCAGCCUCCAGGCAGAGGGCCUGGAUGUCUUGGCAGCCCACCCCAAAGCCCAAACUCCUGCCCGCAUGCUGGGAAGGUGAGCCCUUGCCUGGAGAGCCCAGCAGGGGAAAUAGAAGGAGGGAAGGAGGCCUGCUGCUUCCCCCGAGCUCUGCUCUGCGGCUGCAGGAAGACCCGCAGAGGCCCUGGGCAGCAGAACUGUGGACAGCAAGGCUGGAGUUGUGAAACCCAACCACUCAGCUGGAUUCCAGAAGCUCAGGUGGUGGUGACUAAACCUGGCCUUACUCAAAAUGCAUGACUUUAUUGUCUUUCAAUGUAUUUUCAUCCUCUCCAUUACUAUUUUCUUUUCUUCGGAAAAAAGCAACAGAUCUUUGUAAAAAAAAAUACGU